CAGAAAAUUCCAGUCAACUGAUGAGCCCUGCAUAAAUGUCUUCUUUUGAGAAGUGUCUGUUCAUGUACCAGGCAGUAACUCUUAACUGGCUUUCCUUUCUCUUUAAUCACUUUCCAAGUCUUGUCAACUUGUCUCUUUAACGUCUUUCAAAAGUGUUAGCUAUCUCUACCUCCACUGGCCACUUCCUUAGUUAAGGCCUCCAUAUUUCUCCUUGCCUCAUUCAUAUUUGCCAUGUAUCUGCUGGAAUAAUUGAUUUAAAUGCACAUAUGGACUUGUCAAUCUAUUGUUGAGAAUCUUUAUUCUGUGCCACGUAUGAGAUAAAGCCAAAACUCCCCAAAUGGCAUACAAAGCCCAGUACCUUCCAAUCCUUAAUGAUUUCAACAUCUACCUUUAAUGUCUGUUCUUCACACUUUACACUGCUACAGUACUUAACUGCUCACUGACUGUCCCACUACCUCUAUGCUGGCUGACUGUCCCACUACCUCUGUGCCCACACUUCCCCAUCACACCAUUGUUUUGCAUCGCUCCAUCCCAUUUCCUGAGGCAUGAAUGUGUUCACUCACAUCUCCACAUACCCAUACACUUGAGCUAGCUCUUAUUUGUCAUCCUUUUUUUACAUAAUUCCCUUAUAAAAUCUCCUCUAUAACCAUAAAAUAUCCUGGAAGACAAUUUCCUCCUCC
rnacentral:lncRNA from 1 species